GCGGAAUUUGCGGGAUUGGAAAACGCACCAGAUUUAGGUUCUGGCGCCGCAAGGUGUGAGAGUUCAAGUCUCUCUUUCCGCCCCC
rnacentral:tRNA from 1 species